rnacentral:lncRNA from 1 species
AAGGUAACGAGUCUAAGGGAAGGAUCAAGCUUGAAAGGAAUGGACGGGCGUAGGCUUAAUAGUGAACGCAGACCCCCCUGCUUAUAGAUAUGAGAUCAAUGACUUAAAUAAAAUAAAGAAGUCUUAGCCCUUAAAAUGCGUUGCGAAGAGAGAUCGAAGACGAAGAUUUUCUGACGCAGUGCGGGCACUGGAUGGAAAAGACAGAUAAAGGAACAACCCACCGGAAGGGCAUACCUCAAGGGGCACCAAUCUCCCCCGGCAAAGAUCUAUCUGCGCGAAGCCGACUCAUACCUCAAGGGUCACCAAUCUCCCCCGGCAAAGAUCUAUCUGCGCGAAGCCGAUACUAAGGAUCUCACAUUGAGAGGUAACGUCAGUUCUUCAUUGGUUAAGUUGCAGUAUUUGAAGUACUUGGACCUUAGUUUCAAUGAUU